UUGCUGUCCCUUUGCAGCGCAGUCCUCUAAGGAGGUUUCUGACAUUUUAUUACUAACGUGCAGAAGUACUGUUAGUUCCACCAGCUUUUAUCCAGGAAACUGAGCAUAAAUUUACACAGGUCUAGCCCUGUCAUCCCAGAGAACUACUGUAAGUAUCAAGCUAUGGAGACUCUGUAUGCGUGUUUACACACAAGUGUCUAUGUGCCUCUGUCCAUGUACCAGUCUUGCUCUUGCUCUGAUCAUGUCCCUUCUUCUCCCCUUUCCUCUUUGAGCUCCAAAUUCACUUAUGUAUUUCUUUUCCACAUAAACUGGAAAGAGUUUCAACAGUUCCCACGCCAUUCCAGCAUGGGAAUGAGGAAGUCAUUUUAAUAAAAAGUUAUUUUUAUUGGAAAAAAAAAAAAAGAAAAAAAAAGUAUAGCAUUAGUUACUAAUUUUUGGGUGAUGAAGUCGAGACAAUAAGAAAAUUGAGAUUUUUUUUUUCUGGUGGACUUUCAGAGCUCCUUGAGAACAAGCUUAAUGACAUAGAUCAUUAGCAGUGGGGUUGGACUAGAUGAUCUUCAGAGGUCCCUUUUCAACCUCUAUGAUUCUGUAAUUUUAUGAUUCUGUGAUCUCAUAUUUCUGCCACUCUAUCCAUCAUUUUCUCAAAAGACCACCAAUUGUCAAGUCUAAAGAGUUGUAGUCCAACCAACCACUGUAGUUUGAGUUACAGAUAAAGUAUAGGAAAUCUUGUACAAAAAAAAAAUGAGAGGUGUAUGUGGGAGCAAAAGUUAGCAGUAAGUCUGCCACAGAAAAAGGAAAAAAUAUAUAUGCCAUAAGAUCUUACUAAUGAGGGUUAGAAAUACAGCCAAAAGACACAAUAAUAAAUAUAAAAACUGAACAAUGCACUGCACAGAAACAGCUAACAUAAUUCAGAUGUCUCCAUUCCCCCUUCAGAAAAAGAGGACUUUUCACUAUCAGAUAAAGAAAUGACCCAAACACAUUCUCUGCAUCCAACAGCUUCAGCAGUGCUUUGAAAUUCCUCAGUCUUUGAUGAACAGGCCUACAUAUUUAGAUAAGUGUAGCGUUUUUCCAGAGGGGCAUGAAAGAAUUCAAAACAAAUACAGCCUUUGCAUGACUAUGCAGUUGCACAGAAUUCUCAAAAGGAAACUGCUUGCAGGAUCAGGGCCUUUCCAGCAAUGUGAAAUUUAAGAUGUUAGUAGGGGUUGAAAGAGAAGAGAUGACAUUUCUGUUGAGGGGAUUCAUACGCACAUGAUGCAGGAGAAGGAGUUACAGAAUUUUAGCUGCUGACAUACCCAGGCUCAGAUCUGUGGUUUGGGCACAAAAACAGGGCUAUUGCUUCUAGGGCUUUGGUGGAGGGAUGUGAAAACUGAACAGUAGCAUCUAAGACAUGACUCAUAGGGCAUGGUGCAAAACGGUGCAUAGGGCAGGAGUCUGAGAUGUUGCAGUGAGCUAGCCCUGCAUCUGCAAAGUAACAAAGUUACUUACAUGGUCCUUUCUCCAAUUUCUUGAGAUCUUUUAACAGUGAAGACAACAGAAUUAAAGAGUGUGGCAUUAAAGCUAUUUUUACUGAUGUUGUUUUCUUACACAGCUUGCAAGCUUACAAUAUACCUGAACAGUACUAGAUCUUAUGCACAGAGCAUGAUGUAAGAAGUUUGUUUUGGGUUGCUUCUUCACUGUGCAGCCUAGCUUCUUUCAGAGCUGCCUUUGCAUGUCUACCUGUAGACGUGAGCUCGUAUUUGACUAUCUGAAUGGUCCUAUUUAGAAGGUAUACAUCACAGCACAUCCAAGACAUCCCUAGCUUACCACAGCUCAUCCAUCAGCUCUUGAGUCAGUCUACUGCUCUGAGUUUUAAGGCAAAGUGUCACUGUUUUCCUUAAAAAUAUGGUGGUGACUGCAUUUAGUAGGGCAACCUGUCUGUUUCUGACCCCUGGGUCCUCAACAGUAUUUGUAACUCUUUCAGGCUCUCUGUACUACAGUUUUUAUUCAAAGAGAUUUUGCAUUGAAUUUCUAAUUGUUAUAACAAAUCCUGAAUAGCAGCAGUCCUACUUUUGGUUUCUAUGUAGUCAUCUGCAACCAUCUCCUCUGACUGAUGAUUCCGUUGGAGCUGCGCCUAUCUCCACACAUUAAUCUCAUGCAUUGUGAGUCUUCUUGACAGAUUACAUGGCCAAGCUUCCAGAAAAGUAUCUGAGAACAAUCCAAAUGUAUUAUACCUGCACCUCCAUCUUCAUCAACUUUGUAAUUUAACAAGAAAUAAAAUAUACUUGACAAAUUCUUUUUCUAUAAAGUCACAUCAGCUGCUACUGCUGUACUCCCAUCUCAUAACUUGUUAUGUCCUGUAUCAGCAUUUGUUGUUGGUUUUAUUCAUGACAGAUAAAUUAGUUGUUAUCUGUGUCUUCAGCUGUCCAAAUUGAAUACUUAAGGUCAGUUUUCAGGACUUACAGAAUUCCUGCAGUAAUUAGAGCUUUAUUAGAAAUGUAUAUGAUUUCAUACUUUGUGGAAGACCAUAUGCAGUCUCUAAUACUCUCAAAUUAAAGUUCUUUAUGACUCACCUACUUUAGAAUGUUUCUCUUUAUGUUGUUUGGUGCCCAUACUAAUAAUGACAAGGAAGGUACUCAGUCAUUUUGAUAUGCUGAAGUCCAUCAUACAUUUUUUCAAUGAUCGGAUAAAACUCUUAUCUGUAUCUAUUUAGAUAUAUUGGCCUACAAUACUGGUAAAAUUUAGAAAACUAGAGUUAUUCCUAAAAUUACCAAGCACACUUUUUCUCAUCCAUUUUUUCUAUGCUUUAUAACUGUUCUUACAAUGAUUGCUUUAUUUCCUACUUUAAUAUCUUUACUUCCGACUGCCGUGUUUGCUUCCCCACAAAACUAGAAAUGCAUUUUGCUGAAUGUCUUUUUUCAUGACAACAUCCUGGCUUAAAUCAUUCAACUUCAUUUUUACUCCCACUGCUUUGACACAUUUCUAUCUAGUUUUUCUUCUCACUCAGUCAUUCAUUUUCUGCAGCUUUGAGAGAAACAAGCCAAAAUACAAGCCUUAUGAACAAGACACCGCCACUGUCCACUUGUGUGUUAUCUACAUGCUCAGGUGAACUCCUUCAGGCUUGUAAUUACCUUAUCUUUACCAAAAUAAAUUCUGAAGUUGUACAUUUCUCCAA